AUGCAUGUCUAAGUCCAAGCUGUGUUUACACGGCGAGACCGCGGACGGCUCAUUAAAUCAGUCGUGGUCCAAAUGGGCCAGUCCUUUUUACUUGGAUAACUGUGGUAAUUCCAGAGCUAAUACAUGCAACUCAUACCCUGAUGGGAGUUCCCUCUUGCGCUUGUCGCUUGAGGUGCAUCGACCUGAAGGGUGCUUUUAUUAGACCAAACCGCUGGGGGCUGUCACAGUUCACUUGUGUUCCGUGGCAGCUUGACUCGCUUUAUGGUGACUCUGGAUAACCAUUUCUGACAAGCGCACGUACCCCUCUCCGAGUGGGACGGCGCUGCCACUUUCGAGUGUCUGCCUUAUCAGCUGUCAACCGCUCGCUACACGCGACCGAUGGCUUUGACGGGUAACGGGGAAUCAGGGUUCGAUUCCGGAGAGGCAGCCUGAGAGACGGCUACCACGUCCAAGGACGGCAGCAGGCACGCAAAUUACCCAAUCCCAGCAUCUGGGGGAGGUAGUGACGAAAUCUAACGAUGCGGACGCCCUUUCCGGGCUCCGCAAUCGGAAUGAGCGCUUUCUAAACAACCCGUUGAGAACCUACUGAAGGGCAAGUCUGGUGCCAGCAGCCGCGGUAAUUCCAGCUUCAGUAGCAUCUAUUAAAGUUGCUGCGGUUAAAAGGCUCGCAGUUGAAUGUCAGUGCCGGGCGUUGGAUAGGUGGACGUUGGGGCGUGGGAUCAAGUCGCAGUUGCUGCUUCUCUUCACUUCACGGGUGUUGGGGACACUCUCGGCUCCCACAUGCUCCCGUCCGUA
rnacentral:rRNA from 1 species